rnacentral:lncRNA from 1 species
GUCAACAGCUGUCAACGUCUUCCGUUAUCCUUGCCGUUAGUAACAUCAUAAAUAAACGAGCAGUCUUUCGAUUAAGGAACCCCCGGAAAGUUAUGGCUUCAGUCUCUUUCUCUCUCUAACUACGUUUUCUCUCUCUUCGAUAUCUCAAAAGAAAGCUCAGUAUCUUCCUGUAAAAUAGGCCGUAUUUAUCCAACCUAAAUCUUACCCUAACCCUAGUUUUUUUGGUUGAAAUCGCCCGAUUUUGGUUAGGUCUGAAGUUUCUGGAGGUUUUCCAGUGAGUUUUGGUGGAAAUUUUUUGCAGCGAGGAUGAAGCUUACGGUGAAGACAUUGAAAGGGAACCAUUUUGAAAUUAGGGUUCAGGCAAAUGAUACGGUGAGUUAAGGCUUCUUCGUUUGUUAUUUGGUGUAAUCUGGGAGGAUUCUGAGAUUAAUGGCGAUUAGUCUCUCUCUCCCCUCGCGCUCUCUGAUUUCUGUGGAUCAUUACUUUGAAGCA